AUAAGGCCACCUUCCGAAGUCCCGGGCAGUUGGAACUCAACGUGCGUCUUAGGGGGACAGGAUCCCCUCGGUGACAGAUGCGUUCCCACUGGUGCGGGCGAAGCGCCCGCGGUGUGCCGGCGCGCACCUGCCGGAGGGGUCCCUUAGAACUCUGCAGCUCAGCUUCUGUCCGUUGUCUGCACAGCCGCGGAUCCGCACACCAGAGAGCCGUUCUUCUUCAGAGAGCCCGGUGUCACGACGUUGCGUUUCUGUUGGGUCCCUGAGAUGAAAGGAGUGUUCUGGAGAGGGAUGCGCGCCCAGGACUGAGAAUUGGACACCGGGCAACAACCCCGUGCGAGAGGGGUUCUAAGCAGCCGCCGCCGAGACGCUUUUUAGCGUUCCAUCGCUCCGACAGCGGUGGGCAGCAUCUGCGAAGAUCCGGACGGAUUUCCUCCCACAAAUCGCAAAUCCUUUUGACUUUUUUAUUUAUUUCCUUGCUCACGUCCGUUUUUAGAAUCCUCACCCGAGGAUGGGCGUUCAUUUGUUUUAGAGAGAGAGGGAGGAAAAGCGAGGGCGAGGGAGUAACAUCGACACAUUGCCUGCCGCACAUGCCCCCCCCGACCGGGGGUCAAACCCUCGACCUGUGUGUAUGUGCCUUUGACCUGGAAGCAAACCCACAACCUUUUUGUGUACGGGAUGAUGCUCCAAGCCACGGAGCCCUCCAGCCAGGAGGGCUGUCCCAGCUUGUUUUUGCAAAACCGUUUCCCCCCCGAGGGCCACUGCUGACUUUCCUUGACAAAUGGGAUGCCACGGGGAAGAUCCGGCCAGCUGACAGGAGGUGGUCUGCAAAGCUCACCAAGCAGUGGCGGGGCCGCUAAAAACACGCUCAUUUCUCACCAACGUGUACACGUCAACAUGACACUUACUGUAAAACAAGAAAGGAUAGAUACAGACAUAUGGCAGUAGAGAUUCGAGAGAGGACCUCUCUCUAUAGCCCGGAAUUGUCUCCUGGACAACAGGCCCCUUGUAAUACAGGCUUCCCCGCCAAGCGAGUGUUCUAGGAACACUCCAUCUGUAUCUGUGCGCCAGCUGGCGUUGUUGUGAGAGGCUGUGUUUGGCUGCAAUGACUUCUGUUUUUUUUAAGAGUUUCACGGUGUUUACCCAUUGCAUGAUGGGGGUUUACGAGCGCACCUGCCCACCCCGCACUGAGUGUGCAGCAGGGUUUGACCCAAAACGGCGUGACCCCCAAGCCUCACCCUCCCUGGUCACCUGCUCUUCCCUCGAGCCACUUUUUUGUGUCUCUGGAUGAAAAAAAAAAAAAGUCUCCCAAGGGAAACGUUUUGCCGACACGGAAAAGGUCAAACAAACAAGCAAACAAACAAACAAAAAAAAAAACCCCGCAGAAGCACUAAAAGGCAUCAGAACGGACAACUUCAAAACCGGUUUUGAGCUGUGCAAAAAAACAUCUCCAUAGCUGUAUCGCCCCAGACGGAGAGCCCUUUGUAGGCGACUGAAGUUUAAACAGGGCAGAAUAAAAACACAAGUUUUUACAAAUA